rnacentral:rRNA from 1 species
GAUGAACGCUGGCGGCGUGCCUAAUACAUGCAAGUCGAGCGAACAGACGAGGAGCUUGCUCCUCUGACGUUAGCGGCGGACGGGUGAGUAACACGUGGAUAACCUACCUAUAAGACUGGGAUAACUUCGGGAAACCGGAGCUAAUACCGGAUAAUAUAUUGAACCGCAUUGUUCAAUAGUGAAAGACGGUUUUGCUGUCACUUAUCGAUGGAUCCGCGCCGCAUUAGCUAGUUGGUAAGGUAACGGCUUACCAAGGCAACGAUGCGUAGACGACCUGAGAGGGGGAUCGGCCACACUGGAACUGAGACACGGUCCAGACUCCUACGGGAGGCAGCAGUAGGGAAUCUUCCGCAAUGGGCGAAAGCUUGACGCAGCAACGCCGCGUGAGUGAUGAAGGUCUUCGGAUCGUAAAACUCUGUUAUUAGGGAAGAACAAAUGUGUAAGUAACUAUGCACGUCUUGACGGUACCUAAUCAGAAAGCCACGGCUAACUACGUG